UACGUAGGGGGCUAGCGUUGUCCGGAAUCAUUGGGCGUAAAGCGCGUGUAGGCGGUCCGGUAAGUCCGCUGUGAAAGUCGAGGGCUCAACCCUCGAAUGCCAGUGGAUACUGUCGGGCUUGAGUACGGGAGAGGCGAGUGGAAUUCCUGGUGUAGCGGUGAAAUGCGCAGAUAUCAGGAGGAACACCGAUUGCGAAGGCAGCUCGCUGGAGCGUUACUGACGCUGAGACGCGAAAGCGUGGGGAGCGAACAGG
rnacentral:rRNA from 1 species